UCGGAAAGAAGGAGCUCUCCUUAGGCUGGGAGGGGCCAAGCCGCUGGCCCGUGAGCCUGGGGCAGCUCUGGACUGUGCUUGCUGUCCUUGAGGAGAAUGCAGCCAGCCCAGGGCAAAUCAGAGCCAGGCAGGAAGAAGACCUCCUUGAGAAGAAAACGGAACAUGGCCCUAACAGUGGGCAGCAUGAAACUGAGGAACACAGCAGGAAGCUGAUUUAGGCAAACUCAGCAGGAAGUGUUCCCUGUGAACCCAUGAGACUUCAUCCCUGCGUUGGUCUGGCUGGCUUUCCCUGUGAGAUACAGGUUCCUCCUGAAGAGCUGAAGCUCCAUUCCAGCUCUAGACUUCUCCUUGCUUUCAGACUUCAAGAUGAGAAGCAUUUUUCCAGUCCACAAGUGUUAGAGGACACUGCCGAUGAUGUGUGUUUUGCCCAGGCUGGACUCAGCUUCUUUGUCUCGCAGCCUGGCGAAGAGGCAGUGCUGUGCCAGGAAAUAGCACCCAGGCAGGACUCCAGGGUGGGGACCGCUAAUCUGGCUUUGCCACAAUUUUGAAAGAAGAGUCAUGCUUCAAUUAAUAACAGACAACGGAGUCAAUAUGAAGGGAGCAGAGACAAUGAUGUGAUCAAAUGCCAAGAAAUGACUGACAGCAGAAAAAAUAUCAUGACCACUGUGGGAGGAGGUACUUUCUCUUUGUCAGAAGAACAGAAGCAAAUGGUCUGCUUAUAGCCUUUUAUGUGACGAUGUGCCCUUUCUGCCACUGCAAGGGAAAGAGUCAUCUUUGCUCCUCCAUUUUGGUUUAUCCUAAGAAAGACCAACACUAUGUCUAGCCCAGAGAGAGAAACACAUAAAAUAAAUACAAGUUAAAUCUUCAAUGGGACAUCAAGUUCCAUGUACAAGGCUAACCUAGACUAUAAAGUCCUUGAAAAUGUACACUUGAUAAGAGUAGGGGUCUUGCCUGCCUUAUCCACUGCAUAGCUCCAGUCAAGAGAAGUCAUUGCCACGGAAAAGGCACCCAACAAACAUGCCUUUAACUUGUUGAAUGAACCCAUCAAAUUCCUGAUAGUGGAAGUUUGGACACUGGAGUCGCAGGUGGGGAAAGAAACCAUGAUGCAAUAGGACCCCAAUUACACGUGGGUUCUGCUUAUGUUAGAAAAGCUUCCUGACUUUGUGUGCAGUCAAGUCCUGUGGCUUGUGGCCAAGGGAGGAUCUUUUCUUUUUUACCCAUGGAAGAUGACAUUGGUAUGUUGGAGUAAUGAUCCAGAAGAUAAACAUGAAUACAGACAAAUUCUGAAUUUGGAUUCAAAUAACAAGUUGCACAAAAACAAGGUACUCAGUUAUUUCUGAGUAUUGCUCUGUGCGUGGCACUGUGCUGUACAUUGAGGAUAUGAAGAUGAGUAAGUCUCAGUCUAUAUCUUUAGAGACCUCACAGCCUGGAAAGAGAGUUAAAAAAUAAUUACUAUUCAACAUGGCAAUGGUUAUAAAGGAGCAGAUUUUCCAAACUGGUGUUUCAAGGAACAUUCUUUGGCAGGAUGUUAAAAACAGGAAACAGCAAGCCUGAAAAAGGAAAUUGACGAAGAAACAAUUUGGUUAUUCUUGACUCAGUGGCCAAGGAGGGAACACAGAUGCAAGGAAGACUGGGAAAUGCAGUAUACAGCUGGAGACAUCAUUGCCCUAAAUAAAAAUAGGACUCUUACCAAGAAGGGAGAGGAGAAUGGAUAUUGGGUGGCAUCACAGUCUCUCACACCUGAGCAUCUGAUUCUGUCAGAAGUUAAAUGAUGACCUCUCCUGUGGAUCCCUGGGUUCUUAUGAAGCAUGAGUAUAAUACAAGAUGUCAACAGGUAUUGCAAAGAUACUUAUGGAGCACCCCCAUGUUUGAGGAGCUGUGCGAGGCCUUGGAGUUGAAGCCGUGAGUAGAAAGACAAAGGCUCGGGCUCAGGAGCUUAUAUUCUAGUGAGAAGAGUGACAAUGAAGAUGCAGCUGCCAGGAUCUACCACAACCUGUACAGGAUGUUUUGGGACAGCGACUUGGAGCAGCAUUUGGUGGGAGAGGACGGAAGCUGUGAGACGUCAGCUCUGAGCCCUGAGUCCAGGGCUGGUCCUGUGGAGACAGGGGUUGCUAUGUCAUGAGCAGUGUGUGUGUGAGUAUGAGGUGUGGGAGGAAAGGUAGUAAGAAGCUGAGAAAAUGCCUCAAGCUGACCUCUCCCAAGGGAGUUGGAGCCAUGAGUACCUGGGCACCCUGAGGUGAACACUCCUUGCUCUGUGGGUCUCUAGUAUCUAACAAUAAGACCCCACCUGCACCUAUUGAUACACCUCAGGGUGAGAGGCAAAGAAACAUCACUGGGAAACUACAGACACGCAAUCAGGACUUUUCUCUAAUGUAAAGAGAACUUAGGGUCAGGAUUCAGGGAUCAAAUCUAGCUUCCUUGUUUGGCCUCUCUGAGUCUUUGUCCCUUUGCCUCUAAAACUGAGUAUUUCCUUGCCUUAUCUGAGCUUAUGUAAGGGCUAAAUGGGACAUGCUAUACCAAAAACAAUUUAUGGAGACCCAGUUCACUAUAAGAGUACAAUGCAUUCAUCUUCUUCAUCUUUGUAACUUUCGCUACUCCUUUCUGUUUAAAUUGAAACAGAUCUGGAGGCUUGUUUUCUAGAGGAACAACAAUGAAAAAAACAAGCAACAGGGAAAGUAGUCUUUGGUUAGUGAGUAUUCAGGAAAUUUCGGGGCAAAACAAGGAAGGUGAUUGGAACCCUAAUAAGAUCGCUUCCAGCAUAAGGAUGACAGUGAUGGCAGAGAGGAGACUUCAUACUUGGACAUAGCUUUGUGAGCUCCUAAAGAAGCCCAGCUCAUAGUCUGCCCUUCCAGAUAGCCUGCUGAAGGAACAGUGAAGUUUGGAGCUGAAACAGCUUCCUGAGCAGAAAUCUAGUUCAUUUCCCCAUGCUCAGGAGAGUGGCUUAGAAGCCACCAUCUCUGCCUUUUUUUCCUGUUGCUGUCUGUGGCUGACUGUGGCAGGUGGGAAGCUCUGGGAGCUCCAGCUCUGUCCUCUGUCCUUGCAGACACCCAGGGUGGGUGACCACAGCCUAUGAAGUAAGCCAGUCCUUAAUCCAUGGAGCACAUGCCCAGAUACAGGGACAUGGUGCCAUAAUGGACACUCCAAAAUGCCUACUCCCCAUGGUUGGACCAUGUCCAGAUGACGUUUUUUUUUUUUGUUGUUGUUUGUUUGUUUGUUUGUUUUUGAGACAGAGUUUCACUUUUGUCACCCAGGAUGGAGUGCAAUGGCACGAUCUCGGCUCACUGCAACCUCCAUCUCCCGGGUACAAGCGAUUCUCCUGCCUCAGCCUCCCGGGUAGCUGGGAUUACAGGCACGUGCCACCACGCUGGCUAAUUUUUG
rnacentral:lncRNA from 10 species